AGUGGCGGACGGGUGAGUAACGCGUGAGAAUCUGCCUUGGGGUCGGGGACAACCACUGGAAACGGUGGCUAAUACCGGAUAAGCCGAUUGGUGAAAGAUUUAUUGCCCGAAGAGGAGCUCGCGUCUGAUUAGCUAGUUGGUGAGGUAAGAGCUCACCAAGGCAGCGAUCAGUAGCUGGUCUGAGAGGACGAUCAGCCACACUGGGACUGAGACACGGCCCAGACUCCUACGGGAGGCAGCAGUGGGGAAUUUUCCGCAAUGGGCGAAAGCCUGACGGAGCAAGACCGCGUGAGGGAGGAAGGCUCUUGGGUUGUAAACCUCUUUUCUCAGGGAAGAAGCUCUGACGGUACCUGAGGAAUCAGCCUCGGCUAACUCCGUGCCAGCAGCCGCGGUAAUACGGAGGAGGCAAGCGUUAUCCGGAAUUAUUGGGCGUAAAGCGUCCGCAGGUGGCUAUUCAAGUCUGCUGUCAAAGCACGGGGCUUAACUCCGUAAAGGCAGUGGAAACUGAAUAGCUAGAGUGCCGUAGGGGUAGAGGGAAUUCCCGGUGUAGCGGUGAAAUGCGUAGAGAUCGGGAAGAACAUCGGUGGCGAAAGCGCUCUACUGGACGGCAACUGACACUCAGGGACGAAAGCUAGGGGAGCGAAUGGGAUUAGAUACCCC
rnacentral:rRNA from 1 species